CUUUUGCGUGCCUUCCACCGCCGCGAGCUCGGAAUGUCUGGCCCCGGGUGCUUCAGGGUCCGAGAACCUGCAGAAGUUCACACUUAAAUCCUACACGAGAGUCGUAUUUAUGAUGCAGAACUCGGUGCAGAACCCGAUGGAGUGCCCAAGGCGCUUGAGCCGUUCCUAGAAGGGGAAGGAGAGCCGCGGGCGGCAGCGGGGCAGGGGACGGAAUUGGGAAGCUUGGGAGCAGGAAGAAGGCCAGAGCUACUUAGGGCCAUGCGCGGUGGCUCACGCUUGUAAUCCCAGCACUUUGGGAGGCCGAGGCGGGCAGAUCACGAAGUCAGAAGAUCGAGACCAUCCUGGCUAACACGGGACUCAAGACUGGAAUGGGAAGAGCAUGAAAUUGAGCUGUCUAUCCCCCUGGAUCUCUCAUUGCCACCUGCCCAUAGGUUGGCUGCACCCCUCCACCAAAGAAAGGCCAUGACUCCUUCCUGGCAGCCCUGUCUUACAGCUACUCUCUGGUGAUCUGGGAACCACUCCCUCCCUUACCCCUUGAUGCCUAGGGCUAGUGCCAGCACCUUGUUGUUGUUAGCCUCAGAGGCACUUGCACUGUUCCUUGAUGGUUUUCCCAAAUCUUGCCCUCAUCUUUGUAAAUACUGUUUGCCGUUUAUUACACUGUCAUCAUAUUACCCAAUUUGAGUGUGUCAUCUAUUUCUUCCAAGACCCUGACUGAUACAGUGGGUAUAUUUGGAGCCAGAAAAAACAAUGACAACAAAACCAUUUGUUUGAGAAUUAGAAUGUGUUAGGAGAGUCCAUAAUCAGAACUGUCUGAGCACAUUUACUGCUGCCUAUGAACGGUUUAGAGGAUGAGGACAGCUGGCAUGGGAUUAAGGUAACCUUGUCCAGAAAGAUUUCAUUCAUUUAGAAAAAAUUUAUUGAAGGCCUACUAUCAUGCACCAAGCACUACUCUAGGUGCUGGGGGAAAAGGACAAAUAAAUCAUGUUCCUUUCCCUCAAGGAGCUCACAAUCUAGUAGCAGGGGACAGAUAUGUAAACAGUUAGUUGCAUAAAGCAUCACAGUGCUGUAGUAGAUGUCUGAGCUAGAGAUAAGAACUUUGGAAUGGUCAACAUAUAGUAAAGGCAGAGAAUAGAUGGGAUUGGAGACUGUUAAGAAAUGGAAUCUUGAAGGACUGUAAUAAUUGGAAGAAAUGCUAGAAGAGGAGAGUAAGAAGGAAUAAUUAUAACAGUAGUUCGGAUAUAUGAAUCAUUUACUAUGUCCUAGGGACUGUGCUUUACUUAGAUUAUCUCAAUCCUCGUCACAACUCUAUGGGGUGCUGUUAUUAUCCCUGUUUUACAGAUGAAAAAACUAAGGCUCAAAGACAUUAAGUUAUGUGCCCAAGGUUGCACAGCUAGUAAAUGUGAAGGACAGGAAUUGAAUCCAGCUCUGAUUCUAGAUCUAGUUUAUUCUCUUAACUACUAGUACACUCAGCCGGGCGCAGUGGCUCAUGCCUGUAAUCCUAACACUUUGGGAGGCCAAGGUGGGUGGAUCACCCGAGGUUAGGAGUUCAAGACCAGCCUGGGCAACAUGGCAAAACCCUGUCUCUACUAAAAAUAUGAAAAUUAGCUGGGGCUGUGCGCAGUGGGUCACACCUGUAAUCCCAGCACUUUGGGAGGCAGAGGCAGGCGGAUCACGAGAUCAGGAUAUCGAGACCAUCCUGGCCAACGUGGUGAAAACCGGUCUCUCCUAAAAAUAGAAAAAAAUUAGGCAUGGUGGCAGACGCCUGUACUCCCAGCUACUUGGGAGGCUGAGGCAGAAUGGCUUGAACCCGGGAGGCAGAGGUUGCAGUGAGCCGAGAUCGUGCCACUGCACUCCAGUCUGGCAACAGAGCAAGGCUCCGUCUAAAAAAAAAAAAAAAAAAAAAAAAAAAAAAUUAGCUGUGUGUGGUGGUGUGCGCCUGUAAUCCCAGCUACUAGGGAGGCCGAGGCACAAGAAUCGCUUGAACCCGGAGGUGGAGGUUGCAGUGAGCUGAGAUCGCGCCAUUGCACUGCAGCCUGGGUGACAGAGUGAGACCCUGUCUCAAACAAAUAAAAAAAACCUACUAAUAUACUCAAAGAGGCAGGACCAAGGUAGGAAAGAAUUUAAAGGAGAAGUGAGUAGUCAGCCUUGACAAAUCUUACAGCGAGAUCAAAGGAACUGAUGAUUAACGAGAUCCUAUUGGAUCUUGGAAUUAGAAGAUUUGAGGUGCACUUUGCCUGGGCAGUUUCACUAGCAAAGUGUAGUAGGGGAACUAAUUGAAGUAGUCUCAAGAGUAAAUGGGAAGUGUGGGGAAGUGGAGGCUUGUUUUCAAGGCGUUUGACAUCAAAGAGGAGAGAGAAAGUAAAGGAGGAGCUUAGUGAAAUGAGCCUGCCUGUGGAGAAAGGGUCCUGGUUUUAUGUCAGCAGCAGUAGAGUAAGAUCAGUGCAAUGAAGCCUAAUUGUGAGGGCAGACAGAGGGGGAUGGAGGUGAGGUCUGGGGUGCUUGUGUUGUGGGGGUAGGGUAGGGAAGUUCACAGAGAAGUCUCGAGAGUUUAGCUCUGUCCAGGGAACUGGGAGUGAGGAGCCUGUCCUCAAGGCUGCUGCCAAUAGCUUAGUGGUAGGUAGGAAUGGUUGGCAAUGUGGGUGGUACAGCAGGACCCUGACUCAGCCAUGGGUGGGCACACAGACAGGGGCAUGGUCCCCAGGCAAGAAGGCUGCAAUCUUCGGUAGUCCAUCUGGGCCUGGGAGGAACACAGGGGCAAAGGAGUCCUCUCUGAGGACUUGGGGAGGAUUUCAAGGAGGCUGGGUUCCACUUCUUCACAGGUAUCUGAGACUGUGGCCUUGGGCUGGGAGAGAUGAGGAGAGGCGCUGGAUUAAAGCAGAUCCUGUGGGAGGAGGGGCUGGACUGUACAGGAAGGAGAAGGGCUGGGGUAGUGCUGGGGUAGUGCCUGGGGAUGGCACACUGGUAGGGCAAGGACCUUGAACAAGUUGUAUUGUUGGGGCAAGGAUCCAGUACCAGGCAGGGUUGGUGGUGGGCACAGGGGAGGGAAGCACACUCACCGGGCUCAGGGCUGCAGUGUCCCUAAGGUACUGGCCUAGGACCCGGUGCAGGUCUGGAAGUGAGGGCCACAGGGCAUGCCUCAGUCUCCUGGGGGAGAAGGAAGAGAAGCAGACUGAGCCAUGGCAGUGGAUUGGCAGGGAGGAGGACAGCAGUUGGGGUGGGGGAGCAGUGAGGCCGGGGAGUAAGGCUUGGAGAUAUAAGAGCAUGGUCAAGGCAAUAAAGUUGGGCAGGGGAGUAGAGUAAGAAGAAAACCUCAGGUAGGGGAGGGAAGUCAGUGGUGGGCAGGUUCAACAAAGGGUGCUGCAGUUUCCUCAAACACUCCAAUGUUUGUUCUGUCUGGAACACUGGAUUCAUUCCCUCACCUCAUUGUAGGCCUCUGUUCAAAUGUCAUCCCUGACUACCUUGCCUGAAACACAGUAGUCCCUCUUUAUCUGCAGGGGAUAUGUUUCAAGACUCCCAGCAGAUGUUUUUUCUAUACGUACAUACCUACAAUAAAGUUUAUAAAUUAGGCACAGUAAGAGAUUAAUAAUGACUACUAAUAAAAUAGAACAAUUAGAACAAUAUGCCAACAUCACUACUCUUGUACUUUGGGGCCAUUAUUAACUAAAAUGAGGGUUACUUGAACACAGCUCUGCAAUACCUCAACGAGUCAAUCUGAUAAGCAAGAUGGCUGCUAAGUGACUAUGGGGCAGGG
rnacentral:lncRNA from 1 species